GGUAGCAUCAACUUGAUUAAAUGCUUGCCAACAAUGUAUUUUUGAAUCUGCUUUGUCCAUCCUUUAUCAGCUACACUUCAUGAAAUUCAAAUGUUUGUACUCGUGUUUACACUAGAAUAUGUAUAAACUGGCACUAAAGUUCCUCUGCUCUAGUUGUGGCAAUGGUUUUGGAACAUUGACCAUACAUAUUUUCAUGUUGGUACAUUGGUGAGUGGUGGUUCAUCAACAAAUUACCAACGUCCAAUGUUCCUCCUUGUUCAUCUUAGCUACUCGCAAGUGACAACAAGUUCAUGUGGUGUUCCUCUGUGUAUAGUAGCAAUUAUGCCUACUUCACUCUAUAAGUUCAAACUAGAAAUGCUUCCAACCAUUUCCAAUUUAAGGGGGUGUUGGAGUAUGAGUUUGACUAUUGUUCUAGGUUGUUAGAGUUUAGUUAUUAUUGUUAGUUAGGUUGUUAGAUAGAAUUCUAGCAUUAUUUUUGUUACUAAUUGUAAUUAGACUAGAUAGGUUGUAAUAUUUCUCUUUACCUCUUACCAUAAUAACAAAAUGUAGUUCUUUAUUUCUCUCUCUGCCCCUGUCUCCCUUUCUCUUUCUAGUGUUCUUCCAUAGUUCAUCAAUGUCUUCCUUAUGAACUUUGCACUUUCUUCCCCUCUAAAAACACGAAUUCCGACAAGUACUUGCACUUAAUAUAUAGUAUUUUACUUGAACCCAGUUUAUAUUUUACAUAGAUGUUUUCUUAUCACAUCUUUCGGGAGUCUAGCGUAUGGUUUCGUAUCGCUUAUGUUGUCAUCAUCUGCCAUUUCAGCUUCGCAACAAGAGAAACAGUUGCAGCAUUAAAGGUAUAACAAGAUGAACAAGGGAAAAAAAGGUUUUUCGUGUCUUUGAUGGCUAAAAGCAUUUCAAAAUUAACAGAUCGCUGGCUUCGAGGAGAUGUUUAUGGCAAGAUACUGAUGAUAAUAGUGGUUCAAUCACACUUAAGGAGCUCAAAGCUGGUUUGAAAAGGUCUGGCUUGAUACAGAUCAGAUGUGUGAUCCGAUGGAUGUGGUAAUAGUUUAGCUGUUAUGUAGUUUCUUUGUUGCACACUAACCAUAUUCACUAAACCUUCUUGUUCAUUGUUGUUUGAUAUUUUAGUUACUUUUCUUGCUCUUUGGUUGUUGCACUCUGUUGACAUCAGAAGAUAUUGAACCUUCUUGUCAUUGCACUCUGUUGACCCCCGAAUGUAAUUCUUUUUUAAAUUAUUAUACUAUGAUUAAUUGAGAUUUUAGUUAGUU